UUGAGAAGAUUUUCCUGCCAUUUCAGACCUGAUUUUUCGAAACAUUUGUUUAAAAAAUAUUGUUUCUUUUGAAUUUAUACUUAUAAAAUUUUUUAUUUUGGUCUUGGGAUUUUUUAAAACUUAGAAACAUGAGAAAAAUUCUACCGUGUGGUAUGUAUCACUAUAGAAGUUGGCUUGCGGGGGUAACAAAUAGCCUCCGCUGUCGGUAAUAUUUUUAUUUACCGUGUUGACAUUGUGCAGUGAGCAGGAUUUAGCCUCUCCCGAUAUGUUACCCUUCAUUGGCAUGGAAGAGAAAUACAAGAUCUCUCAUAUAUGCUUCAUUGGUAAAUUAUUGCCGAAAACGUAGAAUUGCAUAGUACCAACGCUGGUAAAAAUCAUAUCAAAAAUUCUUGGCGAGUGUAUGUUUAUUUUAGCAAUUGACACGAGAAAUAACUUCAGAGAAUUUGUAAGGACAGAUUAUGUGGGAAAAGAUAAAGGCAUAUCAGAUUAGAUAAGGCGACAGUGAAUGAAGUGGAAUGGAUGAAUCUGAUAUAUCGUAAUAUGUAAUUGAUCAUAUUUUAAGCGAUCAACUGUGAGACGAAUAAUUUGAACAAAUUAUCUUUCCCUUCGAUUUUCUUUGACACAACAACACCAUUUUCGUGGCGUUCUUAAUUACACAUAAUUAUUCUGAUACAAAAUGGGGGGGCACAUGUUGUUGCGGGUGUUGCUCAGUUGCCACGGGAACGGCGAUUAUAGCAAUUUUAAACACAAUCGCGGGUGUUCAACAAAUUAUACACAACUCGUUAACUGCAAAUAUCAUGAUUUUUCAUCCGGAUCAACUCCCUGAAGAAACCAACGCUUAUUUUAAGGAAUAUCCCACACUCUUCAUAUUAUUGCAAUUUUGUGCCGUAUUCAUGACAUCGGUUAGCACAAUCUUGUCCGCUAUUCUCUUCCAAGGAUACAGGACGAGGAACGUUCGACUCUGUUUGCCCUGGUUAUAUUGGACCUAUUUUUUCAUUGGAUUAAUGGCAAUUAUCAUGGCCGUCCUCGCCUGUUUACUUGCAUUUUAUGCAAUAUUUGCUGCCGCAUUGCUAUGCGUACUGAUUAUUGGUAGUGUUUUGGGGGUUGUGUUAUACUUUGUGCUGGUGGUACAACGAUUUGUUGAUGAGUUGAGAGGAGAUCAGAAGUCAAAAGAAAAUAGGAAACGUAAUUGAGGACAAAGGAUGUUGACGUUUGAAGUUCAGAAUAGAUAUUUAAUGUGGUGAACAUUCAUAUUCCGAAAUGUGUAAAUAUGUAAAUAAGGUCGAUUCGAAUAAAAGAAUUAUUAGAUGUUCCUUCAC